CCCGGAGGUGGGAGGUCCAACAGAAGAGACCCGGGGCUGCUGUGCUCAUGCAGCGUGUCGGAGCGAGGCAGACCAACUUUUUUUUUUACGACGCGAAGAUGGUUACGCACGUAAACCCAUUUCCUCGCUAUGAGAUAAAUCUCAAUGAUUCGCCUACUUUCAUCUCCUGUAUAUACAGGUCACUGACAGUAUCAUGUUUUUGAGUUGACCUUGAACUCAGAGGUGGAGACAACAGAGCAUCGGAGAGUUUGUGGGACAGAGGGACAGUCAACUUCAGGGCCUUGAAGCAGAGGAGUGGAAAAGGACAUGUGGCAUUGCAUCAUGCUCCAAUGUGAGGAACACGAACAUUACUACAACAACAAUCAAUGUGUGGUCGAGUACUGUGGGACAGCAGGAUUCGAAGCACUCUUUGCAGAUGGGUGCACACGCUGCCUCUCCGAGCUUCUCCUCUGCCAUGGGAGGAGUGGGCGUCGAAACACGAGGGUGAGAGAUUCUUUGACUCUGUGUUGAAGACCAGGGGACAGAAGCAAGUACGGGAGACUCAGAUGAGACCAACUUGUCCUGUAACAGCUAUUAAUUACAUAAUGCUCAGUGGUAUUUUCAGGAAAGAUUUUUACUUUCUCUCCCUUAUCCCACUUCUAUUUUUUCCUGGCUACUUUCCCAGGCUUGCUCACAUGCUUUCUCACGAUUUUCCCUCUUUUCAUGGUUUUUGUUUUCCUGUUUAGCUCAUGCUCUUUAGGAAACAUCCACGCCCCGGAUGUCUGAUCCACUGGGUGUCUGUGGCAGUGAGAGCGGGCCGUCCACUAAUCAGAACGUCGGUGAUUCGAUCCUCUGCUCCUCCAGUCUGUAUUCUGAAGUUUCCUUGGGCAAGAUACUGAACCCUAAAUUGCCGAUAGUGUAGAAAUGGUCUAAUAGAAUCGCUGUGUGGACUGAAACAUCUGUUUUACCCCCUUCUUUGCUUUGCUAGGGUUUGCUUACAUCAAGUUUUAUCACCUUUCACAUUUCCUCCUAUUGUCUCUUCAACCACAUGUCUCCCUCCCAUUGUCCGUGUCUAUUCUGACUUUUGUCUGAAGCCUUGUCUCUUCCUCAUCUCGUCUUUAAGCAGUUUCCCUCUCCUCCCUGUCCGGAUGACCCGAGUUGAUCUGAGAGCCCUGCAGUGUUUUCAUUCAUCGUUUGAAACCUCUAAUCACUCGAUCUGUCUCACAGAUGCUAUAAAAAAAUGCUCUCUGUGGAUGUAAUGUGCUUCAACACGCAUGUGUGUAUAAGGGUGUGUGUUUAUGUGUGUGUCUAUUGUAACUUUAUGAAAGACUAUGUUUCACACCCGGUUAAUACAAGAAUGAAUGUGUGUUUAUGCUGAGUUCUCUGUUUGUGUUCUCUGUCCUGAAGAAUAUGAGUAAACUCAAUAUAAAGAUAA